GACGAACGCUGGCGGCGCGCUUAACACAUGCAAGUCGAACGGAAAGGCCUGCUUUCCCUUGUGGAUUGCGGGUACUCGAGUGGCGAACGGGUGAGUAACACGUGAGUGAUCUGCCCCCAACUUGGGUAUAAGCCUGGGAAACUGGGUCUAAUUCCCGAUAGGACUGCAGGGUGGUGCCUGUGGUGGAAAACGAUUUUCUAGUGGUUGGGGAUGAGCUCGCGGCCUAUCAGCUUGUUGGUGGGGUAAUGGCCUACCAAGGCGGCGACGGGUAGCCGGCCUGAGAGGGUGGACGGCGACAUUGGGACUGAGAUACGGCCCAGACUCCUACGGGAGGCGGCAGUGGGGAAUAUUGCACAAUGAGCGGAAGCCUGAUGCAGCGACGCCGCGUGGGGGAUGACGGCCUUCGGGAUGUAAACUCCUUUCGACCGCGAGGAAGCCGCCUGGUUGGAAGGGUGGUGACGGUAGUGGUAGAAGAAGCACCGGCUAACUACGUG
rnacentral:rRNA from 1 species